rnacentral:misc_RNA from 1 species
AGUCGUAACAAGGUUUCCGUAGGUGAACCUGCGGAAGGAUCAUUAACACGUAUCCAAACGUUAAACCCCCCUGUGAACCUUCACCUACUCGUACGUCCGUUAGAAAAAGCAGCAAUCCCUGGUAAAUCAUCGCCGAACAGUUUUCGAUUCAGGGAUGUCUGCAACGAGCAAGUGGCCUGGCAUCCCCAAGCAGUUAGUGUCUGAAAGUGUCAUUAACUGUGUAAGGAUGACGCAGUCACGAUCGUUGGAGGCCCACACGCCGACGACCGGGUCACUGGGCACAAGCCCCCCUUUAACAAACGCUGCUAAUCGCGGCCGCGAUAAAAACCGAACAACUGUUAACAAUGGAUAUCUUGGUUCUC